GAUGAACGCUGGCGGCGUGCCUAAUACAUGCAAGUCGAGCGAACAGACGAGGAGCUUGCUCCUCUGACGUUAGCGGCGGACGGGUGAGUAACACGUGGAUAACCUACCUAUAAGACUGGGAUAACUUCGGGAAACCGGAGCUAAUACCGGAUAACAUGUUGAACCGCAUGGUUCAACAGUGAAAGACGGUCUUGCUGUCACUUAUAGAUGGAUCCGCGCCGCAUUAGCUAGUUGGUAAGGUAACGGCUUACCAAGGCAACGAUGCGUAGCCGACCUGAGAGGGUGUAGGGCCACACUGGAACUGAGACACGGUCCAGACUCCUACGGGAGGCAGCAGUAGGGAAUCUACCGCAAUGGGCGAAAGCCUGACGGAGCAACGCCGCGUGAGUGAAGAAGGUCUUCGGAUCGUAAAACUCUGUUAUUAGGGAAGAACAAAUGUGUAAGUAACUAUGCACGUCUUGACGGUACCUAAUCAGAAAGCCACGGCUAACUACGUG
rnacentral:rRNA from 1 species